GACGAACGCUGCCGGCGUGCUUAACAAAUGCAAGUCGAGCGGAGCGGCGAACGGGUGAGUAACGAGUGAGUAACUGCACCCCUCUCUGGGAUAACAGUUGGAAACGGCUGCUAAUACCGGAUAGUGGGGGGGGACUCGCGUCCGAUCAGCUUGUUGGUGGGGUAGUGGCCUACCAAGGCGACGAAGGGUAGCCGGCCUGCGAGGGAGACCGGCCACAUUGGGCUGAAAUACGGCCCAAGCUCCUACGGGAGGCAGCAGUGGGGAAUAUUGCUCAAUGGGGGAAACCCUGAUGCAGCAACGCCGCGUGCGGGAUGAGGGCCUUCGGGUUGUAAACCGAUUUCAGCCAUGACGCGGUAGUGGCAGAAGAAGCACAGGCUAACUACGUGCCAGGGGCCGCGGUAAUAC
rnacentral:rRNA from 1 species